rnacentral:rRNA from 1 species
AUUGAACGCUGGCGGCAGGCUUAACACAUGCAAGUCGAGCGGUAACAGGAGAAGCUUGCUUCUCGCUGACGAGCGGCGGACGGGUGAGUAAUACUUAGGAAUCUACCUAGUAGUGGGGGAUAGCACGGGGAAACUCGUAUUAAUACCGCAUACGACCUACGGGAGAAAGGGGGCAGUUUACUGCUCUCGCUAUUAGAUGAGCCUAAGUCGGAUUAGCUAGAUGGUGGGGUAAAGGCCUACCAUGGCGACGAUCUGUAGCUGGUCUGAGAGGAUGAUCAGCCACACCGGGACUGAGACACGGCCCGGACUCCUACGGGAGGCAGCAGUGGGGAAUAUUGGACAAUGGGGGAAACCCUGAUCCAGCCAUGCCGCGUGUGUGAAGAAGGCCUUUUGGUUGUAAAGCACUUUAAGCAGUGAAGAAGACUCCAUGGUUAAUACCCAUGGACGAUGACAUUAGCUGCAGAAUAAGCACCGGCUAACUCUGUGCCAGCAGCCGCGGUAAUACAGAGGGUGCAAGCGUUAAUCGGAAUUACUGGGCGUAAAGGGAGCGUAGGUGGCUCUAUAAGUCAGAUGUGAAAUCCCCGGGCUUAACCUGGGAACUGCAUCUGAAACUGUAGAGCUAGAGUAUGUGAGAGGAAGGUAGAAUUCCAGGUGUAGCGGUGAAAUGCGUAGAGAUCUGGAGGAAUACCGAUGGCGAAGGCAGCCUUCUGGCAUAAUACUGACACUGAGGCUCGAAAUCGUGGGUAGCAAACAGG